AUUGAACGCUGGCGGCAGGUCUAACACAUGCAAGUCGAACGAGUGGCGGACGGGUGAGUAAUGUCUGGGAAACUGCCUGAUGGAGGGGGAUAACUACUGGAAACUGUAGCUAAUACCGCAUACCAUCAGAUGUGCCCAGAUGGGAUUAGCUUGUUGGUGGGGUAACGGCUCACCAAGGCGACGAUCCCUAGCUGGUCUGAGAGGAUGACCACCCACCCUGGAACUGUGACACGGUCCAGACUCCUACGGGAGGCAGCAGUGGGGAGUAUUGCACAAUGGGCGCAAGCCUGAUGCAGCCAUGCCGCGUGUAGGAAGAAGGCCUUCGGGUUGUAAAGUACUUUCAGCGGGGAGGCGUUACCCGCAGAAGAAGCACCGGAUAACUCCGUGACAGCACCAAGGUAAUAC
rnacentral:rRNA from 1 species